rnacentral:rRNA from 1 species
GUGGGGAAUCUUCCGCAAUGGACGAAAGUCUGACGGAGCAACGCUGCGUGAGUGAAGAAGGUUUUCGGAUCGUAAAGCUCUUUCGUUAGGGACGAACGUGCUCUUUGUGAAUAAUGAGGAGUAAUGACGGUACCUAAAUAAGAAGCCACGGCUAACUACGUGCCAGCAGCCGCGGUAAUACGUAGGUGGCAAGCGUUGUCCGGAAUUAUUGGGCGUAAAGCGCGCGCAGGCGGGAUAUCAAGUCUGUCUUAAAAGUGCGAGGCUCAACCUCGUGAGGGGACAGAAACUGGUAUUCUUGAGUGUCGGAGAGGAAAGUGGAAUUCCAAGUGUAGCGGUGAAAUGCGUAGAGAUUUGGAAGAACACCAGUGGCGAAGGCGACUUUCUGGACGAUGUCUGACGCUGAGGCGCGAAAGCUAGGGGAGCGAACGGGAUUAGAUACCCUGGUAGUCC